rnacentral:rRNA from 1 species
GACGAACGCUGGCGGCGUGCCUAAUACAUGCAAGUUGAGCGAUGAAGAUUGGUGCUUGCCCCAAUUUGAAGAGCAGCGAACGGGUGAGUAACGCGUGGGGAAUCUGCCUUUGAGCGGGGGACAACAUUUGGAAACGAAUGCUAAUACCGCAUAACAACUUUAAACAUAAGUUUUAAGUUUGAAAGAUGCAAUUGCAUCACUCAAAGAUGAUCCCGCGUUGUAUUAGCUAGUUGGUGAGGUAAAGGCUCACCAAGGCGAUGAUACAUAGCCGACCUGAGAGGGUGAUCGGCAACAUUGGGACUGAGACACGGCCCAAACUCCUACGGGAGGCAGCAGUAGGGAAUCUUCGGCAAUGGACGAAAGUCUGACCGAGCAACGCCGCGUGAGUGAAGAAGGUUUUCGGAUCGUAAAACUCUGUUGGUAGAGAAGAACGUUGGUGAGAGUGGAAAGCUCAUCAAGUGACGGUAACUACCCAGAAAGGGACGGCUAACUACGUG